rnacentral:tRNA from 1 species
AGAGCACUGCCCUUUUAAGGCAGGUGUCCCGGGUUCGAACCCCGGGCGGCUCACAA